rnacentral:rRNA from 1 species
CCUACGGGAGGCAGCAGUGAGGAAUAUUGGUCAAUGGGCGUAAGCCUGAACCAGCCAAGUCGCGUGAGGGAUGAAGGUUCUAUGGAUCGUAAACCUCUUUUAUAAGGGAAUAAAGUGUGGGACGUGUCCUGUUUUGUAUGUACCUUAUGAAUAAGGAUCGGCGAACUCCGUGCCAGCAGCCGCGGUAAUACGGAGGAUCCGAGCGUUAUCCGGAUUUAUUGGGUUUAAAGGGUGCGUAGGCGGCCUUGUAAGUCAGCGGGGAAAGUCUGUGGCUGAACCAUAGAAUUGCCGUUGAAACUGGGAGGCUAGAGUAUGUUUGAGGCAGGCGGAAUGCGUGGUGUAGCGGUGAAAUGCGUAGAUAUCACGCAGAACCCCGAUGGCGAAGGCAGCCUGCCAGGCCAUGACUGACGCUGAUGCACGAAAGCGUGGGGAUCAAACAGGAUUAGAUACCCGAGUAGUC